rnacentral:rRNA from 1 species
UGCAGUCGAGCGGCAGCACGGGUACUUGUACCUGGUGGCGAGCGGCGGACGGGUGAGUAAUGCCUAGGAAUCUGCCUAGUAGUGGGGGAUAACGUCCGGAAACGGGCGCUAAUACCGCAUACGUCCUACGGGAGAAAGUGGGGGAUCUUCGGACCUCACGCUAUUAGAUGAGCCUAGGUCGGAUUAGCUAGUUGGUGAGGUAAUGGCUCACCAAGGCUACGAUCCGUAACUGGUCUGAGAGGAUGAUCAGUCACACUGGAAACUGAGACACGGUCCAGACUCCUACCGGGAGGCAGCAGUGGGGAAUAUUGGACAAUGGGCGAAAGCCUGAUCCAGCCAUGCCGCGUGUGUGAAGAAGGUCUUCGGAUUGUAAAGCACUUUAAGUUGGGAGGAAGGGCAGUUACCUAAUACGUGAUUGUUUUGACGUUACCGACAGAAUAAGCACCGGCUAACUCUGUGCCAGCAGCCGCGGUAAUACAGAGGGUGCAAGCGUUAAUCGGAAUUACUGGGCGUAAAGCGCGCGUAGGUGGUUUGUUAAGUUGAAUGUGAAAGCCCCGGGCUCAACCUGGGAACUGCAUCCAAAACUGGCAAGCUAGAGUAUGGUAGAGGGUGGUGGAAUUUCCUGUGUAGCGGUGAAAUGCGUAGAUAUAGGAAGGAACACCAGUGGCGAAGGCGACCACCUGGACUGAUACUGACACUGAGGUGCGAAAGCGUGGGGGAGCAAACAGGAUUAGAUACCCUGGUAGUCCACGCCGUAAACGAUGUCAACUAGCCGUUGGGAGCCUUGAGCUCUUAGUGGCGCAGCUAACGCAUUAAGUUGACCGCCUGGGGAGUACGGCCGCAAGGUUAAAACUCAAAUGAAUUGACGGGGGCCCGCACAAGCGGUGGGAGCAUGUGGUUUAAUUCGAAGCAACGCGAAGAACCUUACCAGGCCUUGACAUCCAAUGAACUUUCUAGAGAUAGAUUGGUGCCUUCGGGAACAUUGAGACAGGUGCUGCAUGGCUGUCGUCAGCUCGUGUCGUGAGAUGUUGGGUUAAGUCCCGUAACGAGCGCAACCCUUGUCCUUAGUUACCAGCACGUUAUGGUGGGCACUCUAAGGAGACUGCCGGUGACAAACCGGAGGAAGGUGGGGAUGACGUCAAGUCAUCAUGGCCCUUACGGCCUGGGCUACACACGUGCUACAAUGGUCGGUACAAAGGGUUGCCAAGCCGCGAGGUGGAGCUAAUCCCAUAAAACCGAUCGUAGUCCGGAUCGCAGUCUGCAACUCGACUGCGUGAAGUCGGAAUCGCUAGUAAUCGCGAAUCAG